rnacentral:rRNA from 1 species
AGGACGAACGCUGGCGGCGUGCCUAACACAUGCAAGUCGAACGAGGUCCAACCGGUGGCAACACUGGUGAAGACCGAGUGGCGAACGGGUGAGUAACACGUGAGCAACCUGCCUCGAAGACUGGGAUAACCCCGGGAAACCGGAGCUAAUACCGGAUACCCCCACCGGGUCGCAUGGCCUGGUGAGGAAAUGGAUUCCGCUUUGAGAGGGGCUCGCGGCCUAUCAGCUUGAUGGUGGGGUAAUGGCCUACCAUGGCACCGACGGGUAGCUGGUCUGAGAGGACGAUCAGCCACACUGGGACUGAGACACGGCCCAGACUCCUACGGGAGGCAGCAGUGGGGAAUCUUGCGCAAUGGGCGAAAGCCUGACGCAGCAACGCCGCGUGUGGGACGAAGGCCUUCUGGGUUGUAAACCACUUUCAGCAGGGACGAUUGUGACGGUACCUGCAGAAGAAGCCCCGGCCAACUACGCGCCAGCAGCCGCGGU